rnacentral:rRNA from 1 species
GAAACCAACCGGGAUUGCCUUAGUAACGGCGAGUGAAGCGGCAAAAGCUCAAAUUUGAAAUCUGGUACCUUCGGUGCCCGAGUUGUAAUUUGGAGAGGGCAACUUUGGGGCCGUUCCUUGUCUAUGUUCCUUGGAACAGGACGUCAUAGAGGGUGAGAAUCCCGUGUGGCGAGGAGUGCGGUUCUUUGUAAAGUGCCUUCGAAGAGUCGAGUUGUUUGGGAAUGCAGCUCUAAGUGGGUGGUAAAUUCCAUCUAAAGCUAAAUAUUGGCGAGAGACCGAUAGCGAACAAGUACAGUGAUGGAAAGAUGAAAAGAACUUUGAAAAGAGAGUGAAAAAGUACGUGAAAUUGUUGAAAGGGAAGGGCAUUUGAUCAGACAUGGUGUUUUGUGCCCUCUGCUCCUUGUGGGUAGGGGAAUCUCGCAUUUCACUGGGCCAGCAUCAGUUUUGGUGGCAGGAUAAAUCCAUAGGAAUGUAGCUUGCCUCGGUAAGUAUUAUAGCCUGUGGGAAUACUGCCAGCUGGGACUGAGGACUGCGACGUAAGUC